GAUGAACGCUGGCGGCGUGCCUAAUACAUGCAAGUCGAGCGAACAGACGAGGAGCUUGCUCCUCUGACGUUAGUGGCGGACGGGUGAGUAACACGUGGAUAACCUACCUAUAAGACUGGAAUAACUUCGGGAAACCGGAGCUAAUACCGGAUAAUAUAUUGAACCGCAUGGUUCAAUAGUGAAAGACGGUUUUGCUGUCACUUAUAGAUGGAUCCGCGCCGCAUUAGCUAGUUGGUAAGGUAACGGCUUACCAAGGCAACGAUGCGUAGCCGACCUGAGAGGGUGAUCGGCCACACUGGAACUGAGACACGGUCCAGACUCCUACGGGAGGCAGCAGUAGGGAAUCUUCCGCAAUGGGCGAAAGCCUGACGGAGCAACGCCGCGUGAGUGAUGAAGGUCUUCGGAUCGUAAAACUCUGUUAUUAGGGAAGAACAAAUGUGUAAGUAACUAUGCACGUCUUGACGGUACCUAAUCAGAAAGCCACGGCUAACUACGUG
rnacentral:rRNA from 1 species